GCAGUCGAGCGGAUGACGGGAGCUUGCUCCUUGAUUCAGCGGCGGACGGGUGAGUAAUGCCUAGGAAUCUGCCUGGUAGUGGGGGACAACGUUUCGAAAGGAACGCUAAUACCGCAUACGUCCUACGGGAGAAAGCAGGGGACCUUCGGGCCUUGCGCUAUCAGAUGAGCCUAGGUCGGAUUAGCUAGUUGGUGGGGUAAUGGCUCACCAAGGCGACGAUCCGUAACUGGUCUGAGAGGAUGAUCAGUCACACUGGAACUGAGACACGGUCCAGACUCCUACGGGAGGCAGCAGUGGGGAAUAUUGGACAAUGGGCGAAAGCCUGAUCCAGCCAUGCCGCGUGUGUGAAGAAGGUCUUCGGAUUGUAAAGCACUUUAAGUUGGGAGGAAGGGCAGUAAGUUAAUACCUUGCUGUUUUGACGUUACCGACAGAAUAAGCACCGGCUAACUCUGUGCCAGCAGCCGCGGUAAUACAGAGGGUGCAAGCGUUAAUCGGAAUUACUGGGCGUAAAGCGCGCGUAGGUGGUUUGUUAAGUUGGAUGUGAAAGCCCCGGGCUCAACCUGGGAACUGCAUCCAAAACUGGCAAGCUAGAGUACGGUAGAGGGUGGUGGAAUUUCCUGUGUA
rnacentral:rRNA from 1 species